UACGUAGGGGGCGAGCGUUGUCCGGAGUUAUUGGGCGUAAAGCGCACGCAGGCGGUUCUCCCUGUUCAAAGUGACAGUCGUCGGCUCAACUGACGAAGUGCUAGGAAGACGGGAGAACUUGAGGGCUCACGAGGGACACGGAAUUCCGGGUGGAGUGGUGAAAUGCGUAGAUAUCCGGAGGAACACCAAAGGCGAAGGCAGUGUCCUGGGGAGUCGCUGACGCUCAGGUGCGAAAGCCAGGGGAGCGAACGGG
rnacentral:rRNA from 1 species